rnacentral:snRNA from 1 species
AUCGCUUCUCGGCCUUUUGGCUAAGAUCAAGUGUAGUGAAUAAAGGACGUAUGGAACAAUACAUAUAGUAUAAUUUCAUCUAUUUUUAGUUAAAAAAUUUUU